CACGUAGGGCGCGAGCGUUGUCCGGAAUUAUUGGGCGUAAAGAGCUCGUAGGCGGCCUGUUGCGUCCGCUGUGAAAGCCCGGGGCUUAACCCCGGGUCUGCAGUGGAUACGGGCAGGCUAGAGGUAGGUAGGGGAGAAUGGAAUUCCCGCUGUAGCGGUGAAAUGCGCAGAUAUCGGGAGGAACACCGGUGGCGAAGGCGGUUCUCUGGGCCUUACCUGACGCUGAGGAGCGAAAGCGUGGGGAGCGAACAGG
rnacentral:rRNA from 1 species